rnacentral:lncRNA from 1 species
GGAAGAGGUGGGGUGGGUGGGGGUGGGGAGAGGGAGUGUUAGAUGUUUUCUCUGUUGGAGUGCCUUCAUUUACAAAGCAUAUUUUUCAAGUCUUUUGCUAAGAGUAAUGCCAUGGAGCAGCCUCCCAUCAUUCUUGUUAAUAGGACUGUCUGUGUGUUACAGUAAACAGCUAUAACUCUUCUGUUGGAGCCGUUGUGCAGCAGGCAGAGUUUGUUCAGUAUCCAAUUAAGGGUGUCUCCAAUUUGCCAGCCAGGAUCAUGAGAGCUGUGACUCAGCCAUCAGGCAACCUGGGCAUUGUGGAGGCUUCUCAAAGUAGAGAGGGCUGAUGCCCUUCCUCCUCCGCAGCAAGGGGACUGGAGCCUGGCUCUAGACGAUCUCUGUUUUGUUUUGUUUUGUUUUGUUUUGUUUUGUUUUGUUUUGUUUUUACAUGGAGUUUCGCUCUUGUUGCCCAGGCUGGAGCAUAGUGGUGCGAUCUUGGCUCACGGCAACCUCUGCCUCACGGGUUCAAGUGAUUUUCCUGCCUCAGCCUCCCAAGUAGCUGGGAUUACAAGAGUGUGCCACCACGCCUAGCUAAUCUUGCAUUUUCAGUGGAGACAGGGUUUCAACAUGUUGGUCAGGCUGGUCUCAAACUCCUGACCUCAAGUGAUUCAGCCGCCUCGCCUCCCAAAGUGCUGGGAUUACAGGUGUGAGGCACCACAUCCGACCUCUGCUCUUCCUCAAAGGCCACCAAAUCAUGCCAGCUAACUGUGCAAAGAUGUUAGCCUGAUAGUCAAAGCUCUUCCCAGACUCUUAUAAACAUAGAAGAACAUAGCGGUUAAGAACAUGAGCUCUGCAGCAGGAUUACACGGAUUCCAAUCUCAGCUCAGCCACAUACUAGCUGUGUGAUGUUGGAUGAGAACAUUGAGGCCUAGGGCAUUUCAAUAGCUUGCCAAAGGGCUCAUCAUUCUCGGGUAACAGGAUGAGGCCAGACACCAAGGAUCCCUGGAUCCAUGCCCUACUCUCCACACUUGUCUUGGGUCUAUGAAGCCCCCAGUCCCAAGAUGCUGAGAACCUGAGAUAUCACUCAUCUCAUCUUCCUGAAUUUUAUGAACUAAGAAGCGAAAGCUCACCCAAAGCCAUUUAUAGAGUCUAUGGAAAAAGAAGGACUAGACCCUGGAUUCCGUGAUUUACAGAGAUAUAAAGGGUGGCUGGUGCCAUUCUUCCAAAAGGAAAGCUGUCAUCUUUACUCACUCAGUCCUCAGCAAACUAUCUGAGCACUAUUUUUGUGCCUCAUCUGGGAGCUGGGGAGUCAGUGAUGGGCAAGAUAUGGUCUUUACUUGCAAAAUUCCCAUAGCACAUUGGAGAAGAAAAAACAGCAAUCAGGUAUGUGCGCUACAGGGGGGUGCAUGCUGCAACCACCAGCAUCAACAACAACAUGCAUUGAAUGCUUCAUGUAUAUCAAGUGCUCUCUCUCCUAAGAGAUAUGAAUGCAUUAACCCCAUUUACUCCUCAAGACUAGAAACAAACACUUUAUAAUUUGCUACGGACUGAAAAUUUGUGUCCCCCUAAAAUGUAUAUGUGGAAGUCUUAAUCCCCAAUGUGAUGAUAUUUGGAGGCGGGGCCUUGGGACAUAAUUGGGGUAGGGUGAGGUCAUGAGGGUGAAAACCCCAUACUGGGAUUGGUGCCCUUAGAAAGGUAUAAAGGGACUGGAGCAUGCAGUUUCUCUCUCUCUCUCUCUCUGUUUCUCUCUCUCUCUCUCUCCCUCCGCCGUAUGAGCACGCAGCAAGAAAGCGGCUGUGUGGCAACCAGGAAGACAGCCUUUAUCAGAAUCCAGCCAUAUUGGUGCCCUGAUCUCAGACUUUCCAGCCUCCAGAACUGUAAGAAAUAGAUGUUCACUGUUUAAGUGCCCCAGUCUAUGGUAUUCUAUGAUAGCAGCCCAAACUGACUAAGACAUCAUUUCUUUUAUCAGAUGAGGAAACCAAUACAUAGAAAGACUUUUAAAUUUUCCCUAAACAAUGGAAGUACAUGCUAAGUGCAAUAGGGGUAUGUAGAAAAGAGUGUUCAGAUUUUAGGGAGAUUUCCAGAAAAGGCCUCUUCAUGCUGGAGAUGGCUUUUUUUAAAUAAUGGAAGGGAGUUCCCAAGGCAAUGGUUGAGCAGUGGAGUGGGAGCCCAGGUAAGAGUAUGCAGGUGGUAGAAACAAAAUAUUCUAAGACAGACGGGCACAAAACAGCAUGGCUUAUUUGGGGAACUACAAGUACCUCUAUGUUGCUGAUGCCUGAUGUUCUAGAGGACACAUUUCAAGGCAGGAACAAGCUGAGGGCAUAUCUCAACCUCCCCUUCCUCAGGGGCACUCAUCCUUCAUCCCUUUAGCAGUUUUACUCAGCAUUUGUUCUAGGAUGCCAGGCUGUGAGGUAAGACAGGUAAGUGAGACUCAGCCUCUACCCUCAGAGUUCACAAUCUAAUGGGAAAACUAAAUUAUCAUAAAGAUAGCAUUACAAAUGCAGUGCUUGACAUAUGCCUGGAGCACUAUGAGACUGUAGGUGAGAAGCAACGAAAAGAGGACAAUCCGGAGAAGGUAGCAGCUGUGCUGUCUCUUAAAGUCUGACCAGGUAGUCCAGGUGUUCCCUGUGUUUGAGGUCAAGGGGCAGCAGGAGAAGAUGCAACAGAAAAGCACACAGCACGAGCAAAGCCACAUAGCUGAAAAACAGCUAUCACCUGCAACAGCUUCUGCUGCUACAAUACCUGUACUCCUCUUAGAUUUUAUUCCAGUAUCAGCCAACAACGUGAUCUGACAGGACAGUCCCAGCCCUAGGAAAUGAACUAUGAUUCGUGCAGACCGAUCGAAGUCAUACCAUACAGCGAUGGAUUUGGGCAUGUGGGCCAGUUGGGAUCAAGGGAAAGGAAGCAUUUCCAUUUUGAUCAAUGGGGGGAUUCUGGGAAAGUCUUCUGCCCGUAAAAAGAAACAAGCCAGGAAAAACGUCCCCUUCCUCCCUGUAGACAUGGCUAUGAACGGCAGGAUGCCUGAAACUGUCCAGGCUUGUUAUGAUGGAGAGACACACUGCACAGGGUGGGGGAAAGGGGAAAUAUACCCUAAGAAUGGUAGACCAGAAAGAUGUAAAGCAUCUGUAUCCUUGUUGAAAUUAUAGUGCCUCCCAAUUAACAUACCUAGAACUGUUUACCUCUGGACAUUUCAUUAUGUGAGAUAUUAAAGACCUGUGUAUUUGAAGCCUCU